GUGGGGAAUCUUGCGCAAUGGGCGAAAGCCUGACGCAGCCAUGCCGCGUGAAUGAUGAAGGUCUUAGGAUUGUAAAAUUCUUUCACCGGGGACGAUAAUGACGGUACCCGGAGAAGAAGCUCCGGCUAACUUCGUGCCAGCAGCCGCGGUAAUACGAAGGGGGCUAGCGUUGCUCGGAAUUACUGGGCGUAAAGGGCGCGUAGGCGGACAGCUUAGUCAGAGGUGAAAGCCCAGGGCUCAACCUUGGAAUUGCCUUUGAUACUGGCUGUCUUGAGUUUGGGAGAGGUGAGUGGAACUCCGGGUGUAGAGGUGAAAUUCGUAGAUAUUCGGAAGAACACCAGUGGCGAAGGCGACUCACUGGCCCAAUACUGACGCUGAGGCGCGAAAGCGUGGGGAGCAAACAGGAUUAGAUACCCUAGUAGUCC
rnacentral:rRNA from 1 species